GCAGAGCUGCAGCCAUGCCUGCAGGUGCUAUUGAGCCGGACGAACACCCUACGGGCAGGGUGAGCAACAUCGGC
rfam:Kerstersia gyiorum strain CG1 PROKKA_contig000005, whole genome shotgun sequence.